GGGGAAUUUUCCGCAAUGGGCGAAAGCCUGACGGAGCAAUACCGCGUGAGGGAAGAAGGCUCUUGGGUCGUAAACCUCUUUUGUCAGGGAAGAACACAAUGACGGUACCUGACGAAUCAGCCUCGGCUAACUCCGUGCCAGCAGCCGCGGUAAUACGGAGGAGGCAAGCGUUAUCCGGAAUUAUUGGGCGUAAAGCGUCCGCAGGUGGCUCAUCAAGUCUGCGGUCAAAGACCGGGGCUUAACCCUGGAAAGGCCGUGGAAACUGAAGAGCUAGAGAGAGGUAGGGGUAGAGGGAAUUCCCGGUGUAGCGGUGAAAUGCGUAGAGCUCGGGAAGAACAUCGGUGGCGAAAGCGCUCUACUGGACGGCAACUGACACUCAGGGACGAAAGCUAGGGGAGCGAAUGGGAUUAGAUACCCCAG
rnacentral:rRNA from 1 species